rnacentral:rRNA from 1 species
UGGGGAAUUUUGGACAAUGGGCGCAAGCCUGAUCCAGCAAUGCCGCGUGCAGGAUGAAGGCCUUCGGGUUGUAAACUGCUUUUGUACGGAGCGAAAAGGUCUGCCCUAAUACGGUGGGCUCAUGACGGUACCGUAAGAAUAAGCACCGGCUAACUACGUGCCAGCAGCCGCGGUAAUACGUAGGGUGCGAGCGUUAAUCGGAAUUACUGGGCGUAAAGCGUGCGCAGGCGGUUAUAUAAGACAGAUGUGAAAUCCCCGGGCUCAACCUGAGACCUGCAUUUGUGACUGUAUAGCUAGAGUACGGUAGAGGGGGAUGGAAUUCCACGUGUAGCAGUGAAAUGCAUAGAUAUGCGGAGGAACACCGAUGGCGAAGGCAAUCCCCUGGACCUGUACUGACGCUCAUGCACGAAAGCGUGGGGAGCAAACA